UACGGGGGGGGCAAGCGUUGUUCGGAAUUACUGGGCGUAAAGGGCUCGUAGGCGGCCAACUAAGUCAGACGUGAAAUCCCUCGGCUUAACCGGGGAACUGCGUCUGAUACUGGAUGGCUUGAGAUUGGGAGAGGGGAUGCGGAAUUCCAGGUGUAGCGGUGAAAUGCGUAGAUAUCUGGAGGAACACCGGUGGCGAAGGCGGCAUCCUGGACCAAUUCUGACGCUGAGGAGCGAAAGCCAGGGGAGCAAACGGG
rnacentral:rRNA from 1 species